rnacentral:rRNA from 1 species
CAAAAGAUUUAACAUUUAAAAUUAUUUAUUUAAUAAAUUAAUUUAAAUUUUAACAAAAGUAAAAAUACUUUUAUUUAAUAAAAAGACGACAAGACCCUAUUGAACUUUACUAAAGUUUUAACUGGGGAAGUAAAUUAAUUAUUAUUUUAAUAUAUUACAAUACUAAUAUAUCAUAUAUUAUAUAUAAUUCAGUUACCAUAGGGAUAACAGCGCAAUUAUAUUUAAGAAUAUUUAUCUUCUAAAAUAUAGAUUACGACCUCGAUGUUGAAUUAAUAUCCUAUUUUAAGUAAAUCUUAAAUAAGGAAGUCUGUUCGACCUUUAAAAAAUUACAUGAUUUGAGUUCAGACCGGUAUAAGCCAGGUCGGUUUCUAUCUUUUAUAAAUUUAAUUGUAGUACGAAAGGACCUAAUUAAUUAAUUUAAUUAAUCAAAUUGGCAGAUUAAUGCAUUAGAAUUAGAAUCUAAUUAAAAUAUA